rnacentral:rRNA from 1 species
GACGGAAGGAUGCAAGCGUUAUCCGGAUUCAUUGGGUUUAAAGGGUGCGUAGGCGGACCAGUAAGUCAGUGGUGAAAUCUCCUUUGCGUUAACAAAGAAACUGCCAUUGAUACUGCUAGUCUAGAGUAUAGAUGACGUUGGCGGAAUAAUGACAUGUAGUGGUGAAAUACUUAGAUAUGUCAUAGAACACCGAUUGCGAAGGCAGCUAACGAAACUAUAACUGACGCUGAGGCACGAAAGUGCGGGGAUCAAACAGG